UGUGAAACAUGUCGCAGACUCCUCCC
rnacentral:piRNA from 1 species